GUGGUUGUGACUCAGUGGUAGAGCACUCGCCUAAUAUGUGUGAGGCCCUGGUUUCAAUUCUCAGCACUACA
rnacentral:tRNA from 1 species